AGCCAUAAUUGCGCCAGUGCACCCCAGCCUGGGCAACAGAGCAAGACGCUGUCUCAAAAACAAAACAAAAUUUGUGAUAUUUAGGAACCAAAGAUUACAACAACUCUAGUAGGAAUUCUAGUCACUGACCUGUUUGUUUUCCUGUGACCCAUUUUUAGGUUUAAUGCCCAUCUGUGAUAUGAAGAGGCUGUAAAACUUCUCUCCCCAACUUUAUGAUUUAUUCAUACUUCAUGACAAAUGUACACAGCCCUCAAAAUGUAAAAGCUAGAGAAACUCCAGAGAAACCAACAAACUUAGUAGAGCUGAAGUCUAGAUUUCAAAUAACAUGGUCAUUUUACUUGAAAUCUGUAAUUGCAGCAGGCAAUACAAUUCCAAUAAAUUUUUUAAAAUGCAUGUAAAAUAAGAUUUAAGAGUAAUUUGACACUCAGUAAACAAAAUUGUUUAGCUUAAAAAUACAGGGAUAACAUUUCUAAAAUUUAGGAAUUAUUUUGUACCAUAAUAAUGCUGAAUUUUUCACACUAGUUACUGCUAGAUAUAGUAUUUGUAGCUAUGUUAGAUAAAAUGUUGGCAGAUCCUUGACUGAGGCAAGACCAUUGGUUAUUGAGGAAAUGGUUUGAGAUUAUAUUUGUUGAUCUUAAAUCAUUCAAAACGUUGUGUCCUUAAUUUGUCAUCAAGCUGCAAACAAGGGGAAGAUUUUUAUCUGUUCUACAGGAAUCCACUGAUGAUAGCAACUGCAGAAGUAGUCAGUCUUUUCUUCUUAUUCCAAGAUUAGGAAGUAAACAUAGAAGUUCAUCACGUAAACUUAUUUAGGAAUUAAAAAGAAAGGAAAUAAUAUGUAUUCAGGAUGUACUAUACCAGGCUAUAAUAAGUCAUCUAAUAAAAGCUCAGCCUACCUUUUAAGGGUGUAGGUGGCCCUCAGUCGCAAAAAGCUAACCAGGUGCCAAAGCGAGAUUCCCAUUCAAGCAUGUGACACCAGAGCCCUUACUGUCAACGACAAAACCACAUAAACCUUUCCUUUGACUAUGAGGGCAUACCAUAAAAAUGAAUUGGCAUAAUUCAGUCUUAGAGUCAAGGAGGAGCACAAUUCCUAGGUGGUGGGGUUUUGCCAUCUUCAAAAAAUGGGAAAAAAAAAUGUUGAAGAAAAUGUGGACUUGAUAUUAGAUGGGAGACCAAACAGGAGGGACCAGCAUUCUGAUCUUAGAGGUACUGCAUGCAGAUUUGAUCAGCCAUGGGGAAACAGGUCAGUUGGAAAACCCCUGAACUUCUCUGCAUCUCAGUACUGCAAUAAGAGGGGUGUUAAUUAUUGUCAGGCAUGGCAACUUUUUGAUGUCUGUAUCUUUAAAAAGAGAGGUCUUCAUACUUAAUACUGAAAACAGUUGAAAUUGCACCCAAAAAGCCCUACCAGAUAUCCUGACCACCUGCAUUUUAUUUCAAGGUAGCUUUGUAACUGUCAAAAUGUCCUUACUGUACAGAACACUUUCAUAUGUGGACCAGGACUGCGAGCCGAAUGAGCACACCCUAUACCUCAGCUAGUCCUAGAAUUGUCCUCAGAGGCAUUGAAGAGCUGACCUAGUUAUAUUCUGAACCCUAACAUUUUAAGCUACAUCAGAUCUGGAAUCUUUGGGAGUUGAGACCAUCAAGGAGCUUAGAGUAGCUUGGCCUCUGAGGACCUUCCAUGGUAGCCAUGCGUUUCCCCACAUCCAUGCCGCCACCUUGGGAGCCAACUGGAACAUUCAUUCUCUGUUAAGUAGAAGGAAUGUUCACAUUCCUUUCACUCUCACGUUCCCCCAUGAGCACUGGUAAUGUGGGUUAAGGUUAUCUUAAAACAGAAUGUCUUACGUCUCAGGAACCCCUUGGUCCUGGACAAACCAAGACUGUUGGUCACAUGAGCUUUUGUGCUCAGAGUACCAAGGUUAAGAUCUUAGGCAAUGCCUGGGACCAGUUUUUCCCAUAGAAAUAUUUAACUUAAGGACAGUGUUUUCCUUGAUGCACAAUGAUGGCUUUAGAAGGGAUCUUCUAUCUGAAAAACCCUGCCCCUCUCUGUGGCUUCCACACCUAGGCCUCUUCAUUCAUUUCCUGCUUCUGAAGGCCUCUGAGGGAUUUAAACCAACUGCAGCCUUUCUUUACAUCUCUGAACAUGGCUUAAGUUGUACAAAGGGGCAGUGAGAGGUCACACUCUGCUGGUGAGCCUGCCGCUGUGCUAAAAUUGCCUAGAAGUAAGAUGAUCACAUUCUUCGUUGUCUGUUUGGUCUCCAACUUGAAACUACUGACAAACAGGUAAAUACAUGAUGACGAUGGCUGCCACCAUGAACUUUGACAAUUUUAUUCUCUUUCCUUUAGACCAACAGCUGACUUUAUGCUCACCACCAAACAGCCCUCAAGUACUGCGAUUUGAAAAUCAAAGCAGUGUAUGGUCAGUUAUUAGAAACCUGUGAUGAGAAACUCCAGAAGCCAUUAUUAAUUCCCCAGAGACCCCAUUCACUUUAAGCAAUCUAUGAGGAAAUUAUGUUAAAUUCAAGCAUGACUGUGCAUUUUUACUUAAAUGUAAAACAUAUGCCUGUAUUAAAGAAUCCCCAAAUUCCCAUGUGUUCUUAAUGGGUGUAGUAAAAUACUAGGGUGUACUUGUCAGUCCAGAUUUGGGCUACUGGAUUUGGAGGCAGUGGUAAUGUUUAGUUAUUGCUUGGAAUUUUUUUAUAGAUUUAUGGGGUUACAAGUUAAUUUCUGUUACGUGGAUAGCUUACAGAUUUUUAAUGGGAGAGAGAAGAAAUAGGUUUAUAUAAAAAUUGUUUUUUAAUAUAACAAAAUUUUUAUAAAGUGAAUAUUUUUAAAGUACAUUUACAUAAAGAUGCUACCUUGCUAGGUACUACAAAAUAAAGACUGUAUGUAUUAAACCCCCAAUAUGUUUGCAAGCAAUUUGCACUUGAUUUUUUUUGUAGAUUAAGAGGUCACAGGGUAAGUUGCUGGGUCAGCACAGUCAAGGGAGAAUCAGAAAUGGGUUCUAGUUAAGAAGAAUAGAAAUUUUGUCAGAGUGCUAUUAUUAUUAUUUAUGGCAAGAGAUUGAGAGUGUGUCCUCUAUUUAGGGAAGAUGAAUGGGGAACUAUGAUUCCUUCUGAGGCAGAGUCUAUAAAUUAUCCCUAAUAUCCAUUCUCCUUUUCUUCCUUUUAUUAUAAAUAGAACUAUUGGAAUUUCAGCAGGGCAUGUGGCCACCCCACUAGAAACUAAAUUCCUCAACCACCAUGUGAUAGGUUGAUUACAAAAAAUGGUCCCAAUCCUUCCCAGUAUCUACAUCCUUUGCAGCUUUUCUCAUGGGAAGGUGGAGUCUUUGUUCCCCACCACUUGGCUGGCCUUGUGACUUGCUUUGACCAGGAGACUCUGGAAGUUAUCUUGUGCCAGUUUCCAGCCUUGGCCUCCAGAAGUCUUACACACUUCCCCACUUUCUUGGAUUCCUUCCAUGCCUUGAGAGUAAGCCCCAGGCUAGCCUACUAGAAGGUAUGAGAUCAUGUGGAGAAGAACUGAGACGAUCCUAGACCAACCAAUCCUCCAGUACAUGCAGGAACCCAGCCAAGAUCAGAGCCACCUACUGUGUGGCUGAUAGCAGGUGCUGCAUCAGCCCAACCAAGACCAGAUAAACUGUCCACCUGAUCCUUAUAUUUGUGAGCAACAAUAGAAGGUAUUGACUUAAGCCAGUAAGCCAGUGAUUUGUUACACAGCAAUAACUAACUAAUACAGUUCAAGCUAGGCAUAGCCGUGGAACAAAAUUCUGGUCAAAAGAAGUGAACCGAAGUGAUGGGAGCAAAUUUGCAGAUCUCGUCUUGUAAAAUGAAGCGGCCCACCCUCCUCUCCCUCUUUAUUCUUUCCUGUGGUCUGGAAUGGAGGUGUGGUGCUGGUGAGCCCAUCGGGACCUUGUCAACAAGGGCAAGAAUAUGGAGCAGCAAGACCAAAGUUGUUCAGUUUUGAACCUGUUGAGAUUUAAGUACCUCGAAUACAUCCAAGUAGAAGUGUUGGGUCACUGGAUAUACCAGCCUCAUAUUCAGGAGAGCACACGGCCCAGCAUGGUAGCUAUGAAGCUGGGAAUCAUCAGAGUAUAAAGGGGAAUGCAAUUAUGAGAGACGAUGAGAUUACUUGGGGAGAUUAAGGGUAGAAUGAGAAGACAAAGAAGACCAGAACCAAGCCUUGCAGGUGAAUCACAUGGCUCGCCAUCUGUCCUGCCCAAAAUGUCCUGAGAUGACAUGUUAAAACAUUUUUAAGUGUGCUUAUUUU
rnacentral:lncRNA from 1 species